AACAAAGAACUUAGUCAUUUAGUAAAAGAAAGAGACAAUGCGACUUUCUGGCAUCAUAGGGGGUUGUGGAAGAACACCCCAGAUUUAUUAUUAAAAGACAAAGUUCAUCUUAAUGAUGAAGGUAUGGAAAUAUACGCUAGAAGUGUCCGUGCUGCUGUUGGUAGCCUUUCACGAACAUGUAAUGUCGAGCAAACAUGCGUUGCAAAUUACCGUUUAUGAUUGUUAUAAACUUAUUGUCCCUAUUUGGACAUAUGAAGAAAAGAAGCAUACACUACAAUUAUGUAGUUAUCUAUGAAUUAUUUGCAUAUUAUUACUCCAUCA
rnacentral:lncRNA from 1 species